rnacentral:rRNA from 1 species
GUUUGUUGUAAAUGGCGGCGUUAACGUGAGCGUCCUAAGGUAGCGCGAUAAUUUGCUUUUUAAUUGAAGGAUGGUAUGAAAGGGUUAACGAAGAAGAUGCUGUAUCUAAAAAUUUAAUUUAAACUAACUUUAAGGUGAAGAGGCCUUUAUGUAAAAGAAGGACGACAAGACCCUAUGAAGCUUUAUCUUAAUUGAAGAUUUUAGGCUUUUAUACGAUUUUGAUGGGAGAUCAGUAAAAAUAAGUCUUUUACUAUAACGUUAAUCUUACUAGAAUUUACUAAUUUUAUAUGUGUGAUUAGCUACUCUAGGGAUAACAGCGCAAUUUCCCCCGAAAGAUGGUAUUGGAGGGGAAGAUUGCGACC